rnacentral:pre_miRNA from 1 species
UCUUAUGGAUGAGCAAAGAAAGUGGAUUCUUGAGAUGGAAUCUAUUCCGGGUGAAGAUGCUGUGAA